rnacentral:rRNA from 1 species
GCACGUUAUGGUGGGCGACUCUAAGGAGACUGCCGGUGACAAACCGGACGGAAGGUGGGGAGUGACGUCAAGUCAUCAUGGCCCUUACGGCCUGGGCUACACACGUGCUACAAUGGUCGGUACAAAGGGUUGCCAAGCCGCGAGGUGGAGCUAAUCCCAUAAAACCGAUCGUAGUCCGGAUCGCAGUCUGCAACUCGACUGCGUGAAGUCGGAAUCGCUAGUAAUCGUGAAUCAGAAUGUCACGGUGAAUACGUUCCCGGGCCUU